rnacentral:rRNA from 1 species
GAGAGUUCCCUUCGGGGACAUUGGUGACAGGUGGUGCAUGGUUGUCGUCAGCUCGUGUCGUGAGAUGUUGGGUUAAGUCCCGCAACGAGCGCAACCCUUGUCUUUAGUUGCCAUCAUUAAGUUGGGCCCUCUAGAGAGACUGCCAGGGAUAACCUGGAGGAAGGUGGGGAUGACGUCAAAUCAUCAUGCCCCUUAUGCUUAGGGCUACACACGUGCUACAAUGGGUAGUACAGAGGGUUGCCAA